rnacentral:misc_RNA from 1 species
GUUUGUUAGUAUUUUUUUUUUACUAUUUUUAGUUUAUUUUUAUUGUUUGUUGUGUAAUGGAUGUUGGUAUCUGAAACGGCCUAAUGGUAAUGGAUGUUGGCAAUAUUUGAAAUAGCAGUGAUUAAUAUGUGUGAUGUUAGUUUAAUUACAUGGGUUUUACUUCGAAACUUUUCCUAUCUUUGUUAAUUUGUUUAAUAUUUAGUUUAUUUCUCUAGUGUAUAUAAAGAAACUUUUCCUAUUAAUCCCU